rnacentral:rRNA from 1 species
GACGAACGCUGGCGGCGUGCCUAAUACAUGCAAGUCGAACGCAGUGGGGACGGGUGAGUAACACGUGGGUAACCUCCCAUCAGAGGGGAUAACACUUGGAAACAGGUGCUAAACCGAUCCUGAUGGAUGGACCCGCGGUGCAUUAGCUAGUGGGUGAGGUAACGGCUCACAAAGGCAACGAUGCAUAGCGGACCUGGGAGGGGGAUCGGCCACACUGGAACUGAGACACGGCCCAGACUCCAAGGGGAGGCAGCAGGAGGGAAUCUUCAGCAAUGGACGAAAGUCUGACCGGGCAACGCGGCGUGAGUGAAGAAGGUUUGCGGAUCGUAAAACUCUGUUGUUAGAGAAGCGGAAUCUAACCAGAAGGCCACGGCUAACUACGUGCCAGAGCCGCGGUAAUAC